AUGGACCUUGUGGCCAGGAACAUGCAUCAGCACUGGUUCCUCCUCUUUCUGGUGGCAGCUCCCAGAUGUGUCCUGUCGCAGAUACAGCUGCAGGACUUGGGACCAAGCCUGGUGACGCCCUCGCAGACGCUGUCCCUCAUCUGCUCCGUCUCUGGAUUCUCUCUAACCAGCUAUAGUGUGUACUGGGUCCGCCAGGCCCCUGGAAAGGGUCUGGAUUGGAUUGGUACUAUAUGUAAUGGUGGAAGCACAGACUAUAACCCAAGUCUUAAGUCCCGACUCAGCAUCACCAGGGACACCUCCAAGAACCAAGUUUACCUAAAACUGAGCAACUCGGUAACUGAGGACACAGCCAUGUAUUAUUGUGCAAAAGACACACAGUCUUCCUUGAUCGCAUCUCUGUCCUGCUUUGUGAGCUGGGACAUUCGCUUGCGGUUGCCUGAGAGUUCUGGGACAGGACAGAGUCUCAUCUCCUCAAUCAAAGAUCAGAACGUGGACCUCUUCACUCUCCUUGAGGAUGGACCCAGUGACCUCUACCAGCCCCUUUUCAGGUUGGACCAGGUCGUCAGCUAUGAAUUCUACCUCCUCAUGAACAUGCAAAUUAGAUGA